ensembl:lncRNA
UGCACAUACAUGCACAUAGACAUGCACAUACAUGCACAUAGACGCACAUACAUGCACAUAGACACACAUACAUGCACAUAGACGCACAUACAUGCACAUAGACACACAUACAUGCACAUAUACAUGCACAUAGACACACAUACAUGCACAUAGACACACAUGCUUUAACUGACGACACUCAACUGAGGAUGUCAACGAAAAGUUUUGUAUUUGACAUUUUGUAUUUUGACUCAAACACCAAACCCUAUCAGAUAUUUUAGAUUCUAUAUUUUGUACAUUAAUAUAUUAGAGAGAAGUAUCUAUAAAUAAACAUGUAUUCGGAUGUACAUAGCUGACCGAGACCCAUUACAAUCAUGCAAGGUGUGGACGAUUCCUUUUCUGUCCCAUCACUGUAUUCUUCAUUCUUUCUAGUUCACCUGCUUUUUCCACACAUUUGGUUUGAAUAUCAAGCAGUUGCCUGCACUUGUGGCAAGGCAUCCCCUGACAUUGUCUUUUAGAUGAAUAACCCCCUGCAGUCAGUCCAUGUCAUCGAUAGAGACUCUCUAUGAAGCCAUCCCACCAACCCUGGCUCAAUCAAAUGUUAUGACCCAAUGAAUGUCCAGUUUUCUCCAAUGAGGCCUUUAUACUUGUCUAUACUGAUGAUGACAUCAUCCUUAUGUUAAACAAUAUGAGGAAUAGCUUGUGGGAGUCCAUGUGGAGAUGCUUCCUUUUUACCUUGGACCUGCUGUAUAUUGUUAUCCCCAUUGGGGUUGCACAAUUCCAGUAACUCUGCAAAAAUUCCCAGGUUUUUCUAAAAUACUGGUUGGAAGAUUCCUGGAAUCAGGAGGGAAUAAGCAGGAAAUCCAGUAAACUUCCAACAGAGAUUUCUAGAAAACCUGGGAAUUUGGGGAGUGACUGGAAUUUUGCAAACCCUAUCCCCCUUCUUCUGUUUCUGGUAGAGCAGCCCCAUCAGUGUAACAGCAUACUGUGGUAUCUUCAUAUGUUUCAGGUAGAGCAGCCCCAUCAGUGUAACAGCAUACUGUGGUAUCUUCAUCUGUUUCUGGUAGAGCAGCCCCAUCAGUGUAACAGCAUACUGUAGUAUCUUCAUCCGUUUCUGGUAGAGCAGCCCCAUCAGUGUUACAGCAUACUGUGGCAUCUUCAUCCGUUUCUGGUAGAGCAGCCCCAUCAGUGUAACAGCAUACUGUGGUAUCUUCAUCUGUUUCUGGUAGAGCAGCCCCAUCAGUGUAACAGCAUACUGUAGUAUCUUCAUCUGUUUCUGGUAGAGCAGCCCCAUCAGUGUUACAGCAUACUGUGGUAUCUUCAUCAGUUUCUG